rnacentral:rRNA from 1 species
UUGAACGCUGGCGGCAGGCCUAACACAUGCAAGUCGAACGGUAACAGGAAGCAGCUUGCUGUUUCGCUGACGAGUGGCGGACGGGUGAGUAAUGUCUGGGAAACUGCCUGAUGGAGGGGGAUAACUACUGGAAACGGUAGCUAAUACCGCAUAACGUCGCAAGACCAAAGAGGGGGACCUUCGGGCCUCUUGCCAUCGGAUGUGCCCAGAUGGGAUUAGCUAGUAGGUGGGGUAACGGCUCACCUAGGCGACGAUCCCUAGCUGGUCUGAGAGGAUGACCAGCCACACUGGAACUGAGACACGGUCCAGACUCCUACGGGAGGCAGCAGUGGGGAAUAUUGCACAAUGGGCGCAAGCCUGAUGCAGCCAUGCCGCGUGUAUGAAGAAGGCCUUCGGGUUGUAAAGUACUUUCAGCGGGGAGGAAGGGAGUAAAGUUAAUACCUUUGCUCAUUGACGUUACCCGCAGAAGAAGCACCGGCUAACUCCGUGCCAGCAGCCGCGGUAAUACGGAGGGUGCAAGCGUUAAUCGGAAUUACUGGGCGUAAAGCGCACGCAGGCGGUUUGUUAAGUCAGAUGUGAAAUCCCCGGGCUCAACCUGGGAACUGCAUCUGAUACUGGCAAGCUUGAGUCUCGUAGAGGGGGGUAGAAUUCCAGGUGUAGCGGUGAAAUGCGUAGAGAUCUGGAGGAAUACCGGUGGCGAAGGCGGCCCCCUGGACGAAGACUGACGCUCAGGUGCGAAAGCGUGGGGAGCAAACAGGAUUAGAUACCCUGGUAGUCCACGCCGUAAACGAUGUCGACUUGGAGGUUGUGCCCUUGAGGCGUGGCUUCCGGAGCUAACGCGUUAAGUCGACCGCCUGGGGAGUACGGCCGCAAGGUUAAAACUCAAAUGAAUUGACGGGGGCCCGCACAAGCGGUGGAGCAUGUGGUUUAAUUCGAUGCAACGCGAAGAACCUUACCUGGUCUUGACAUCCACGGAAGUUUUCAGAGAUGAGAAUGUGCCUUCGGGAACCGUGAGACAGGUGCUGCAUGGCUGUCGUCAGCUCGUGUUGUGAAAUGUUGUGUUAAGUCCCGCAACGAGCGCAACCCUUAUCCUUUGUUGCCAGCGGUUAGGCCGGGAACUCAAAGGAGACUGCCAGUGAUAAACUGGAGGAAGGUGAGGAUGACGUCAAGUCAUCAUGGCCCUUACGACCAGGGCUACACACGUGCUACAAUGGCGCAUACAAAGAGAAGCGACCUCGCGAGAGCAAGCGGACCUCAUAAAGUGCGUCGUAGUCCGGAUUGGAGUCUGCAACUCGACUCCAUGAAGUCGGAAUCGCUAGUAAUCGUGGAUCAGAAUGCCACGGUGAAUACGUUCCCGGGCCUUGUACACACCGCCCGUCACACCAUGGGAGUGGGUUGCAAAAGAAGUAGGUAGCUUAACCUUCGGGAGGGCGCUUACCACUUUGUGAUUCAUGACUGGGGUG